CAGAGUUAUUUUUGUCAUUUUCAAUCCUAAAAGUUGCUUUUCAGAUAACACUGUCACACCACGUUCUCUUUCACUAUUCUUUUCUUCUUUUCUUCCUUAUUUCAUUUUCUCUCACUCUCUCCCAUUUCUUCUCACUCUCAAAGUCAGAUUCAAAAAAAAUUGAAUCCAUCUUCAUCUUUCUUUACCCAAUAACAAUCACUUCUUUUUGUUUUCUGAUUAUGUGCUUAUGAUUUUGUUUAUUUCUCUUUAAAGAAAUUCAAUUUACUUGCUUUGUUGUUUGCUUUUGUUGUUGUUGGAAAGGAAGGAAAGCACAAGAGAAGGAAAUCAGGGGAACAUAUAUAUGCACCCAACAAGGAGAAGGAAAGUAUGUGAGAAGGAAGAACAAAUUUAUGGAUUUUGAAGCUUUGUCUCAGAGAUAAAGAUUUUUAUUCGAGAUAAAGAAAAUGGGUCACUUAUUGUCACUUUCUCAUCUUUACUCUCUUAUCUAUACAUUUAUUCAAUUUAUUGUCACUAACUCAUAUUUCCUAACAAUAUUUAGUUUCCUGCAUUUUUUGCGUGUGUAGAUUUAACAUGAUGACUCUCUUUUUCUUCCUUUCAUUUCCUUCAAAUUCAAACUAAUUUUCAUAUUUUGAUUAUCCUUGCUAGGAAUGCACGGGUAGCUUAUGAAAAGAUCAAGCUAAUUUUCUUACACAGAUCAUUCACAAACUAUGCAUCAAAAUAGCACUUACAACUUUUAUUUUUCUUUCAACUUAAUCAAUCAUGGUUUACUUUUUGAAAUACAAAAUAAAUUGUAAAAAUUACUUUCUACUCUAUCUUUUACAAACUCUUCAGAUUUGAAUAUAUAAAAUAGAGUGCAGCCAGCCAAAUAAAUAAAAAUUCAUCACUUUGCAAAUUAAUAUACUACUAUGUUUAUCAAUUUUUCAGAUCUAUUAAUAUUAAAUCGUUUAUAAAAAAGUAAACAUGGAUAUUUUUAAUCCCUAAGAAAAUUAAACAGAUUUUGUACAUACAACGUAGAUAUUUCGAAAAGUAGAGUUUUUUUUUUCUUUGUUAUAUUUGUAUAAAGAUAAUUUCAAAAAAUCAACGAAAAAUGGAAGUGUGUGUCUGAUCUUCAUACAAAAUAUUUUUCAUUAGAAAAUUAAAAAAUAAAUACAAACAGAUCCUACACUAAACAAUAAAAUAAAAAAUUUCAAUAAUAAAACAAUACAAAGUUUGAGAUCCAAAAUUUAAUCACAAGUUUGUUGUUGAUGCAGGGAAUGAGAGAAGGGGGAAUUUCUUUAGAAUUUGAUGCCCAUAUCAACAAAUAGAUUCCAAUAAAGCUUACAUGAUCAGUCUUGCAGAUUUGGUACUAAACUUUAUGAAAGUCAAAUCUACAUGACAAGGAAGGGGUUUUAUUUUUCUGUGGUGGGGAAAUAUAAGAAGUUGAGAAUGACCCUUUUUUCAAAGUAACUCCUUAAAAAAAUUUGUUUUAAUAGAAAUAUAGAGGAAGAUUAAAGGAUAACAAAUAUGAAAUUUAUUUGCAUAAAAGGUGAUCGGAAAUGGAGAGCUAGGUGGCCGGUUUGUGGCUAGAGGCUUGAGUUUUGGGAGAAAUUGGAGAAGAAGGAACGAGAUAGAAUGAAAAGUAAUAAUGGAAUGGAGUGGGUGAGAGAUUCCCGAAAAAUAAAUCGGGAAUAAGCCCAAAUUUAAUUUUAUAUGUGUGGGUUGAAAAGUCAAAGAUGGAAAGAAAUCAUAAAAAAUCGAUUUUUUUUUAUUUGAGAACAAAUUGAUUUGUUCUAUCGGAUAAAAUUAGUGUUCUUAUUGGUCUUUAUGUGAAACAAAUCUUAGUAAUUAAAAUCAAUGACUAAUAUUAAUUUUUUUUAA